rnacentral:rRNA from 1 species
CAGCAGCCGCGGUAAUACGCAGGUGGCAAGCGUUGUCCGGAAUUAUUGGGCGUAAAGGGCUCGCAGGCGGUUUCUUAAGUCUGAUGUGAAAGCCCCCGGCCCAACCGGGGAGGGUCAUUGGAAACUGGGAAACUUGAGUGCAGAAGAGGAGAGUGGAAUUCCACGUGUAGCGGUGAAAUGCGUAGAGAUGUGGAGGAACACCAGUGGCGAAGGCGACUCUCUGGUCUGUAACUGACGCUGAGGAGCGAAAGCGUGGGGAGCGAACAGGAUUAGAUACCCGCGUAGUCCCUGUCUCUUAUAC